GAUGAACGCUGGCGGCGUGCCUAAUACAUGCAAGUCGAGCGAACAGACGAGGAGCUUGCUCCUCUGACGUUAGCGGCGGACGGGUGAGUAACACGUGGAUAACCUACCUAUAAGACUGGGAUAACUUCGGGAAACCGGAGCUAAUACCGGAUAAUAUAUUGAACCGGAUGGUUCAAUAGUGAAAGACGGUUGUGCUGUCACUAAUAGAUGGAUCCGCACCGCAUUAGUUAGUUGGUAAGGUAACGGCUUACCAAGGCGAGGACUCGUAGCCGACCUCAGAGCGUCAACCCCCACACUGGCACUGAGACACGGCCCAGACUCCUACAGGGGGACGCAGUAGAGAAUCUUACGCGAUGCACGAGAGCCUGACAGUGCACCGCCGGCUGAAUCAUGAAGGUCUUCGGAUCGUAAAGCUCUGUUAUUAGGAGAGAACUAAUGUGUAAGUAACUGUGCACGUCUUGACGGUACCUGAUCAGAAAGCCACGGCUAACUACGUG
rnacentral:rRNA from 1 species